CGGACGGGUGAGUAACGCGUGGAAAACCUGCCGUAUACUGGGGGAUAACACUUAGAAAUAGGUGCUAAUACCGCAUAAGCGCACAGCUUCGCAUGAAGUGGUGUGAAAAACUCUGGUGGUAUACGAUGGUUCCGCGUCUGAUUAGCUUGUUGGCGGGGUAAUGGCUCACCAAGGCGACGAUCAGUAGCCGGCCUGAGAGGGUGAACGGCCACAUUGGGACUGAGACACGGCCCAAACUCCUACGGGAGGCAGCAG
rnacentral:rRNA from 1 species